GCUGUUGCAUCGGCAUCAUUAGUCUCUUCAGAUAUCAAUGAAGUAUCAACUCUAAGGCAACAGAUUGGUAAGCAAAAAUAUAUCAUAUGUUUUUAUCUCCCCAAGGCUUGGUAGGCUGUUAAAGUUAAGGAUGCUACUUGCUACUUUAAUUGUGGUUGCAUCCUUUUCUCAACUUAAA